UACGAGGGGUCCUAGCGUUGUUCGGAAUUAUUGGGCGUAAAGAGUAUGUAGGCGGCUAUAUAAGUCAGGUGUGAAAGCCCCGGGCUCAACCCGGGAAGUGCAUCUGAUACUGUCUAGCUUGAGUACUGGAGAGGGUAGUGGAAUUCCAGGUGUAGUGGUGAAAUACGUAGAUAUCUGGAGGAACACCGGUGGCGAAGGCGGCUACCUGGCCAUGUACUGACGCUGAGAUACGAAAGCGUGGGGAGCAAACAGG
rnacentral:rRNA from 1 species